UGCCUUUAUCCAGAAGAGCCCAGUGAAGACCUCUGCUCUGUUUUCAGACCACGAGGACACUUGGUGUCCAGACCGCUUGGCCCCCACCCCUGCCAGGCUGUUCUCCAACAACAUCCCGACUCCAUUCCAGAGCAGCUGGGAGCCUACAGCAGCCUAGGAAUCUCCAUGCAGCCCCAGGUGGCAUGCAGGGCCAUGUCUCCUCUUGAGGACCUGUCUUCAGCGUCUCUUUUAGGCCC
ensembl:lncRNA novel transcript